GAUGAACGCUGGCGGCGUGCCUAAUACAUGCAAGGCGAGAGAAGCGGGGACGGGUGAGUAACACGUGGAUAACCUCCUAUAAGACUGGGAUAACUUCGGGAAACCGGAGCUAAACCGGAUACUUAGAGAGGGAGCCGCGCUGCAUUAGCGAGUUGGUAAGGUAACGGCGUACCAAGGCAACGAUGCAUAGCCGACAUGAGAGGGUGAUCGGCCACACUGGAACUGAGACACGGUCCAGACUCCGACGGGAGGCAGCAGGAGGGAAUCUUCCGCAAUGGGCGAAAGCCUGACGGAGCAACGCCGCGUGAGUGAUGAAGGUCUUCGGAUCGUAAAACUCUGUUAUUAGGGAAGCGUUACCUAAUCAGAAAGCCACGGCUAACUACGUGCCAGCAGCCGCGGUAAUUC
rnacentral:rRNA from 1 species